CGCGUAGGCGGUCCUACAAGUCCCGCGUGAAAGCCCCCGGCUCAACUGGGGAACUGCGCGGGAAACUGUAGGGCUUGAGUUCGGGAGAGGGAAGCGGAAUUCCGGGUGUAGCGGUGAAAUGCGUAGAUAUCCGGAGGAACACCGGUGGCGAAGGCGGCUUCCUGGACCGACACUGACGCUGAGGCGCGAAAGCUAGGGGAGCAAACG
rnacentral:rRNA from 1 species